GAGCAUAUCUCUCUAUUCCCCUCACGGCCACCUGCUCCUCCCCCUCCUCUUUUAAUCUCCUAGCGCCUGGAAACCCUAGCUCAUCUCCCCUCUCUGCCGCCGCCAACAUCCCAUUUUUUUCCCUCACAUUGUCUUCUUCUCUGUAAGCAACCGAACAACAUCAACGAACACCUCUGGACCAUCUCCUCGCCAUGGCGCCGCCGCGGCAGGCCGCCCCUCGCCGAGCCGAUGGUACCAGGAGAUGUGGCUCGACGUCCUCGUCAUCUCCCUGCAAGGAAUCGACCUGGGAUCCCUUCAAUCGACGGCGAAUUCGCCGAUUCUGUCUCCAACUCCGGCGAGUAAAUCUUCGAUUCCGGCCGCUACGGUGCACCUCCGGCCUCAACGACCCCUUGCACGGCUUCCUGCACCUCGACGCCGGCGAUGCUCCGGUGCCUCCCCGACCCUCGCGCCGCCCGCUGCUGGUCCGCGGCGUCUAGGCGAGCCUCCGAACCCAAGUUCUCCGUCCUGGUUCGGCCGUCCCGGCAUUCCUGUGCUCGACCUGGUCAUCCUCCGCCAUGAGUGUUCUGGACCGAGCUCUUUGUUAGGCUGCUUCAAGUCGUUACAUGACCCUAUCUAUCUUGAGUUCAUAGAUGUUUCACUUCGUGCGUGAGAUCAUCCGAGUCAACAACAGCAGUUAGCUCUUCUGACGGGCCUCAGCCCAUAUCUCCCUGGCGCAGCUAGAUGCUGAUGUGCGCCCAGCAUCUAUCCACCGCCGGCCGAGCACCGGCGCAGCAGAGUCCCUAAGCCAGCAUUUGCUUCUUCCCGGAUAGGAUCGCGAAGUGGUGUUGUGAGACACGACAAGUUCUCCGGAUGUCCCUCGACAAGUUUUAACAGGCAAGCAUUUCCCCUAUACUUCUGCCCCUGCAGAAGUCGCUCACCUAUUUUAUUUUGCCUUCUCCCUCAUGCUAUCCUUAAGUUGCGUUCUUGUCACGUGUCCCUUCCACUUGUUAACUCAAGCAGCCCAUAUUGCCACCACCAACCACCAACCUCCUACAGCUGUUGUUUGGUUAUCGGGUCUGCCUUGCGAGUCGUAGUGCAUGCUAGUGCUGUUAUAUCUUGUUACCGUUAUCUUUAUCUUAUCGGGUAAUAUGUUAAGGAAUCAUGACACAUGCUACAUGUUUAUAUCUGUUGAGGGUAUCAUGGUUACUUGUUAAUAGUUGUUAACGGAGGCAUCGGUGGGUCAGCUGAUCGUUUUGUGACGGCUCACUUGUGUUUCUUUAAAGCUUAGGACCCG